CGGGUAGAGUAACACGUGGGUAACCUGCCCUCAAGUGGGGAAUAACGCUGCGAAAGCAGUGCUAAUACCGCAUAAGCUGCGCAAGUAGUAAAGCUACGGCGCUUGAGGAGGGACCUGCGGCUGAUUAGCUAGAUGGUGGGGUAACGGCCUACCAUGGCGAUGAUCAGUAGCCGGCCUGAGAGGGCUGACGGCCACACUGGGACUGAGACACGGCCCAG
rnacentral:rRNA from 1 species